CGUAGGUAACCUGCCUGGUAGCGGGGGAUAACUAUUGGAAACGAUAGCUAAUACCGCAUAAUAUUAAUUAUUGCAUGAUAAUUAAUUGAAAGGUGCAAUUGCACCACUACCAGAUGGACCUGCGUUGUAUUAGCUAGUAGGUGAGGUAACGGCUCACCUAGGCGACGAUGCAUAGCCGACCUGAGAGGGUGAUCGGCCACACUGGGACUGAGACACGGCCCAG
rnacentral:rRNA from 1 species